rnacentral:rRNA from 1 species
AUGGUGUUGCGGGCGCCCAAAAAGUUCUACAAGGAAGUGGACAAGGCAAGAAGACAGUUCCUCUGGGCGCAAAAUGAAGUGGCCACUGGUGGAAAGUGCAAGGUCCGAUGGUAGGCGGUGACCACACCAGUGCGCGCAGGGGGCCUGGGCAUCCAUGAUCUGCCAAAGUUUGCCCGGGCUCUUCGCCUACGAUGGCUAUGGCUAGCAUGGACGCAGCCUUCCCGCCCUUGGGUUGGCACCAGCACUCCCUGCGACGACGCCGAUCGCACUCUGUUCACUACCUGCACGUACGUCACCGUUGGGGACGGCUCAACGACUUCCUUCUGGCUCUCUUCCUAG